UUUUGGGUUAGGGAUAGAAGUGGAAAUCCUUUUGUGUAAUGGAAUGGAACAAAAGAUUGAAGCGGAUAGCCCGGCCGGAG
rnacentral:sRNA from 1 species